rnacentral:tRNA from 1 species
CCUGGUCGCCGAGACGCUGGCCGCGGACUCAAAAUCCGUUGGUCGCGGGUUCGAGCCCCGCCCGCCCCA